CAAGGAAAGACCGACCAAACAGAAGCACAGCGGAAGUCUUUUUAGUUUGUCAAAGAGGCAAAGAGGAGACCUGUAGGCUAUAGAGAGCCCACAGGGACAGGAGCCUGUCUUGGGGAGAUCAAUCCCUGCUCCAACGGACUCCUCCUCUGCUCUACAAGGUACAUGGUAUCGUAUCUUUCAUGGUGUCACUGUCACCUUUCAACAAUCAGGCAUGAGAAUCUUCUUUUAGGAUUUGGUCUCAAGUAUGGUUUUGGUGAAUGGUUAUGUGAGCCAAAAAAAUCAGCAAUUUUGACUUGAUAUCGUAGAUUUAUUAUUAAAUUGUUAGUAAAAAAAGAAACGAGGUCAACAGGGAGAUACAACUCCAAAUCCAGAUAAUUCUGUAGUGGGAUUCUGAUUGGUAACUUUGGGUUGAUCUGGGGAGCUGGAAUUUGGUAUGGCUGUUGCCAAGAGCAACAGCAGCCGUGACUUGUUGAAGCAACCGUGCAAUUGUUACACAGUUUCAAGCUUAAC
rnacentral:misc_RNA from 1 species